rnacentral:tRNA from 8 species
GGGUGUAUAACUCAGUUGGUUAGAGUGGUGGACUUUUAAUC